CAUACAUCACGGUCUCUACCAAAAAUAUAUCGUUUUCUCUGAAACAUAAAUAAAGUACUUUUCCAUUUACUUGAGACGCUCCUCUGUUUUUUUGUCUUCAUCGUCUUCUUCUAUUCUUCAUCACGUUGGGAGAUCGCCUCCUCCAGAGAUUACUUCAGGCCAAGCUCCAGCUUCCUCUUCACGCCCUAGUCUUCUUUCCCUCAAUCGUGUUGUCUGACUCGAAGGAAAGUUCUCGACAGAGUGAGACUUUUCUCACUUAUCCUAUCAGCA
rnacentral:lncRNA from 1 species